rnacentral:rRNA from 1 species
AGAAUCUUUCUCAAUGGGCGAAAGCCUGAAGGAGCGACGCCGCGUGGGGGAUGAAGGGCUUCGGCUCGUAAACCCCUGUCAUUCGCGAACAAGGCCGGCUAUUUAAAAGAUGGCCAGUUUGAUGGUAGCGAAAGAGGAAGGGCCGGCUACCUCUGUGCCAGCAGCCGCGGUAAUACAGAGGUCCCAAGCGUUGUUCGGAUUUACUGGGCGUAAAGGGUGCGUAGGUGGUGGGGCAAGUUUGAUGUGAAAGCUCCGAGCUCAACUCGGAAAUUGCAUUGAAAACUGCCUUGCUAGAGGAUUGGAGGGGGGACUGGAAUUCUCGGUGUAGCAGUGAAAUGCGUAGAUAUCGAGAGGAACACCAGUGGCGAAGGCGAGUCCCUGGACAACUCCUGACACUGAGGCACGAAAGCUAGGGGAGCAA